CCAGAUACCGUACCAAAAAGACUUGGGCCAUUACUUGAAAAACACUUCUCAUUUUGUACUUCUUCAGUUGUUGAGGAGGCCGUGUCAGCGGACGGCACGCUCAAGCUCGUGGUCCGGCUU
rnacentral:ribozyme from 1 species